GAGCCGGUGGCGUUAUUGAACCCCAACAGUCCCUUCAAGAGGUCCGCCAAGCCCGGGUCGAAGGACCCGGAUGAAGGCGGCUCGGACCGCUUCAGCACCGCCAUGGAGUGGACGGUGGACACCUUGAUCUUGCCCCCCAGGGAAGCGGCGUUAAGGGCAUUUUGGAGAUUCUGCAUAGCCGGCAGCAGCUGCGUCAUCAGGUUCCGGUCGGUGGAGGUCAUGACCUCGUUGCCGACGGUGACGAGGAUGAUGUUGCUCGCAGGAUAGAAGGGAAGGACGUUAGUGUUAAUCCAGUUUUUGGCAAAGUUGGGAUCGCCUGCUAGGGCGGGGAUGUCGCCGUUCGCGGCGCCGAUUACGAUUCCGAUGCCGGUGUUCGCUAGGGCCUUGAUGAUGGCCGGGUCCGCCCCGUAGAGUCUGACCUUUUCAAUCGCGGUGGUUUGGAGAAGCCUGGCGGUGGCCGACGGCGGAGGGAGGUUGUCGGCGACUUGCCCGUAGUUUACCCCAAUGAAUGAUUCCGAGUCUGCUAAAAAGAGAAGAAAUAGAGCAAUGAUAAUCAAAGAGCUGGGAUUUCAGAAAAGAAGAAUUUUAGUGCUUACAAAGCCAAAAAAAAAAAAAAAAACAUACUUGCGACGUAAAUGGCCUGAAGGAUGAAAAGGAAGAGGAAGGAUAAAACAAAACGAAGCCUCGCCAUGGCUGAGCUGAAGUGAUGAUCUCUAUCUCUCUCUCUCUCUCCCUCACCCUCUCUUCUGCGGAAUACAAUAAGGCGAAGAGGACCAUAAAUAUAGUAUUGUGGAGGGCAAAAUCGUAAAGAUCGAGGGCUUUAAUCAGCAAUUCAUGGAUGGAGAACAGUUUAAAGCAUCGGAGAUGAGAGCUGGAAUCUGGAAGGUCUAUGGUGGGGUCUGGUUUUCAAUUUCUUGCGGCUUUGCAUUUUGGAUGGAGGGGUAUAAAGGGGAGACUCGAGCGAAGGUUCCCUCUCUUUCCAGACGGCUUUACCGCCCAAGGAAGCUGUUUGAAUCUUGAAGUGACUUUAAUACCCUCAGAUUCGAUCAUAACACAUUCAUCCAAAAAACAGGGUGAUAGCUACCAGCUGAUGCUUUUGGAAUUGCUUGAAGCAUGAUACAAGGAUUACAAUCCAGGUGAAAGUUCAGUAUAAAGUUUACAAAUGGAUGUAUAGCAUGCAUGAGCUGCAAGUUAUCAAAAUUCGCCUUACCCACCAAAAACAGAAGAAGAAACCGGAAAGUGGAUGUUCUCUGUUUUGAUCAUCAGAUAUAUAUUAAGUUGGCCUUUCUUCAUAAAUGCACGCUUGGACAUGAAAAAAUAUAUAUAGCAAUUCAAGAAGUUCUAUGUGGGUCAUUCUCCUUCCUUUGUAUUUUGUCAACAGCGAGAAACAUCCAUUGAAUGAAUGAAUGAAUGGCUUAAUGCUUAAUUACCUCCGGCCAUGGAGUUCGAAUGGCUGGAUCGCUGAGUGGCAGCCAUGCGCUCUUUCCGCAGCCGCAGGUCGUCCAACAGCUUCUGUGCGAAAUCGGACCGCUUCGCCAUCUUUCAGUUGGAAUUCAGGACAAAGGGCCAAAAUCCAAAGGAAAAAAUCUCUGGGAUACAGAAUGACCGAACAUAUGAGGUAAUGCUUGUGGUUGUUCUUUCUUUUGCAGAUAAGAACAGAGGAGAGCAAGGGGGAAUGUUGCAUUUGGCUUUUUCAGUUGAGAGGGCUCUUUCGGUGUUGGGUAACAUAGGAACUAUAAAAUAGACAUGGAAAUUUAAUCUCUCUAAAGGUUGACGUAAACGUUAGCUCUCUCUCUCUCUCUCUCUCUGUGAAGGGUCUUUUUGGCACUCGAGUGAAAUUGAGCCAGUGACGUUUAUUCUAAUCUAAGCAAUAGGCAGAGAUUUCAAAAGGGCUUCUGUUCCAAGCCCCCUUCUUCCUUCCUUCAUCGUCAAUCUCUCUCUCUCUCUCUCUCCCUCUCUCUUCUUUUUCUUUUGGCAGAAUGAAUGCUUAGCACUUUGCAGGUGUUUGUGUUCUGUAUUUUGCAGGGGUGAUGGAAUGAGCAGAGUGCUUUACUUGCACACAUUUUCUUCUUUCUUGUUUUGUUUUUGAGGCACAAGCAAUUAAAGGGCAGGGGAUUGGGAAUCGCCGAGUCGGGUUUGGGGGUUGUAGAGCAAUCAAGUUGGGACACGUGGCAGAGACUCGUGGAAUCCAGGGCACUUGAGUUGGGUGAUGUAAAUUAAAGUCAACUCCUUUUAAUUUGCAUUAGGACUUUAAGGGAUCAA